ACGAGUAACGUGCGGCUCACCUCUGCGCGGCGCCGGGUCGAACUGCAAACUGAAAAGCAUCUGCAUUAAUGCCAGCAUUCCAGUCACACGCAGGGACAAACAGAGACUAAGAAGAAACCACACACAUCCCUUUACCUUGUAAAGAGGCCAAGUCUGCAUCUCAGGCACCACAACUCCACUACCAACAGCUUAAACACAGCCUUGGCUGCUUACCUCCAUUACCAACUGAUGAGCUCUUGAAACCAAUGUAAGGCCAUUAGCAUGGUUAAAGGUUUCUGAAAUAUCCUGUCCAAAUGUAUAACCUGCACCUCGAGGAGAAAUUCCCCAGCCACCACGAUCAUCUGGAUCUGACCAUAGCAAGUCACACAUUGGACCCUGUAAGAGAUUUGGAAAGUAUUUCAUGAACUGAACCAAAAAAAGAAAAAAAAAAAAAAAGCAAGAACAAAAGCCACAACGUCCACCCUCAUGAACCUGCACAGCUUACUGCAGCAUCUCUGUAAGGCUUGGAAAGAAAAUGUAAGCAAAACCCCACCUAUCAGCUACAAUAGUUAGUGUAGUUAAAGCUUGAAAUACUCACAAGAAAAUUAAUUUUAAUGGAAAAAAAUUUCACAGAAGCAGUUCUCACCUCUGAGAUAUUAAAAUCUGCUUUGUAACAUCAGGCAAGAAUGUGUCCCUUAAUUUUCCUGCAGAAGACUAGUAGGCAAGACAGGUAUUUUCAAAUUGCUACAUCGUUUUGAACCUGAUUUUCUGCCUUUGUAUAUAUUAAAAUGCCCAGCAUAUGCUGAAUCAUGAAUUGCACUGUGAGUUAAGAUAAUUAAUCUUCAAUAUACCUCAUGGGGAACUUCCUGCAAGCGAUCCAGUGCUCUGAUGUGAUCCAGCGUAUCUAUUGAUGGAGAGAGGCCACCAUGUAGACAGAAAAUCUGAAACAGACAUCAUGAAAUCUCAGUUGUUUAUUAUAACUGUUUAGUAUAAACAAUUAAGAAAAAUUUCCAGGAGGUUAUUUCCAAGCUGCAAGCUCACUGAAUACAGUGUUAACAGCUCCCUUCACAACCAGCAACAUUUAACUUUGUCCAAGUUCAACCUACCUGGCCAUCCACCAAGGCAGUUAGAGGAAGGUAAUCAAAAAGGUCUGUAAAGUACUUCCAAACAUUUGCAUUCCCAUAUUUUCUUAAACAUUCGUCAUAGAAACCAUAUACUUGUGUGAUCUGCCUGCUUUCAUGGUUCCCUCGAAGAAUUGUGAUACGUUCACGGUAACGGACCUGAACACAAUAGUGGAACACAUGUUAGGGGCACGACAACAUGCACUGCCCAAAACCACCAUUUGCUUCUCUUCCCCUCCCCAUAAUGUGCCAAGUAAGCAAUAAGAACAACUUGAAUUACAACCUUAAAGGAAAAAAAAACAA